GAAUCUUAAAAAAAAUAAUAUUCACAACAAAGUUCAAGAGGCUGUUACCGCAGCAGGAAAAUAUAUGUAAUCAACUUACGACACAGAGCAUAAAAUAAACACCAGAAAAAAUGAUUUGUUUUAUGGAUAGCAAGAUCAUAGUUUGGACGUAUCUUUAUUUUGCUACAAGUUCAAAAAUAGGUGUUUCUCCAGUUUCGUCCGAAAUAAUUCUUACAGCGUCCAGAGUAACAUUGGAACACCAGCAAAUAUUCAUUGAAGUCACAUGUACAACUAUACAUGUUUCAACCGCUAACUUUAAAAUAUAUUACACGAGCAAUGGCUCCACAAAUUUGAAGUCUUGUAUCAAAGCAACAAGCUGUGUUACUGACCCCCACAGACUGUACGAUUUAAAACAAGCUUAUGAAUGUAAAGCAAUGACGGACUUUAGCAACAACAGCAAAACUAUCAUAGCAGGAACUCUCCUGCCAAGAACAGAAACAGACAAAUCCACAUCGUCCGACGAGCUGCUAAGGGAGAACCUGAAAUGGAUCAUUGCUGGUGUGACAAUCAUUUGUGUUGCAGCUACCGUCUCAGUGGCAUAUGUGUGCGGACGAAUGGGAAAACGAUAUUAUGACAAAAUCCAGCGCGAGAACAGACGUCAAUGCACACGAAAAAGUUCAGCUUAUGACGUAAUCGAGCUUCCAGAAUUUCCAAAAACACGUCCUGAAAAGGUCCAGCCGGUAGUUACACCAAGGGAAAAAAAUGACACCACAGAACCAUACUUUGUUCGACGGCUUCAGUCAAUCAGAAGAUCUGUGUUUUCGUCCGCCUCUACGGCUUCGGGUUACAUGAACAUGAUGCUCCCACAAGACAUCUCCACUUCCAGAACUCGUACCAAAAAAGAACAACACGAGGAUACAAGUUACGCUAUACCAGAUAUUCCCCCGAGGAUCCCGACACCAUCACCUAUCCCGCGGAGGGAUAAAAAGCCAGUCGCACAUCAAACAUUGUCGCCAAGGACGACUAGGGUGAAGCCACCAUCGAUAUCAACACUGCCGUCACGUUUACAUACAAAUUCGGAACGCAUGUCAACGGAAACAACAUCAUGUAGGUUUAAACCAAAAUUACCCCGAGUUGACAAAGUAUUUAGACCGGCACUCGCAAACGAAAGAGGUGAUUCACAGACUCAGACUGUAGAAAAUACAAAUCGGGGUGACCGUUCGACAAACAGUGACAAUGCGAGUAACAGAGAAUCAGUGUGUGAAAUAUGGCAUCCUACGAAGCCUGAAUUCAAGAGUAGGUCGAUGCGGACUCAAAGAGAUAUCGAAAACAUGGAUUUUGAUCAUGAUGAAUGAUGCAUGAAUUUCUUUAAGACUGACUUAUUGUUACUCUAUACAACUAUUAAUGCCACUCUGCUGAUUGUUUUCGAUUGUAUUUACUGUAUUACCGAUUAUUGUACGGAGUUGUUGCAAUACAUGGAAGUAAAAUAUUGUUUUCCUUUCAUAUGUCACCAAGAUGACUAGUCACCUCUUUAUGUAGAUGAGCGAAUAGAAAUGUUCUUCCUGUUAUUCUAAUUGUUCUUCACUUACCAUAUAUGGUGUUUAAUAGAUAUUGAAAGGAGUGUGCCGGAAAUUAAUUUCAGUGACACAUACAGAAAACGUGCAUGACCAACAAUCGGUUUCGGUAUCACAAUUAUUUUCCAUUUAAAUUAAACUAUGUUUAAAUGAGUGUAAUCCUUAAAAUUUAAAAUAAUUCAUUUACUAGUGUUCCAUCUACAAUGCGGACCCAAUUUGUUUUAGCCGUGAUUCUUUUCAGCUGCUUUUCGCAAGCCAGCGGUAGUGGAAUUUCGCCUAGCCUUACACCUUUGAACAGCUCAUAUGACUGUCAGAGUUGUUUGUUUUCCGAAGCGGCUGUUCCUUUCAAAUUCAAAUGCAAUCUUGCUAAGGACUCCCAUGAGACCGUGGCUGAGGUAUAUAUAGGGUCAAACAUUCGCCAAGGCGGUUUCAAAGAAUCCGAUGGCGUCUAUGGAUUCAGGACAUACACGAUCAGGGAGGACGAUCAUUUGUUAAAAGUAAGAUGUGUUGCCACUGAUAUGGCACAGGAUCCUUUUAUAUCAGAGGAAACAAGUGCUACUUUGUAUGUCGUCAAGCAGCCCAAACUAGUAACACUGAAGAUUUCAAAGGCAAGCAUCACAUGCGUCGCUAAAGGCGGCCGUCCUGCUCCGACGUUAGUGAUGAAAUCAAACGGGAUUAUUCUAUCGACUUCGCAGUCAAAUUUGACUGACUCACCUCGCAAAACAAACAGCACUUAUACUACCAAUGCCUUAGUUGAGAACCCCUUGUUGUUAUCGGAAGGACAGACGAUCUCCUGUUGUACAGUCCCUUCCUUUACAGAAAUGAAGUGUGCUGAAGAAAAAAAGUUGGACUUUGAACCGAACCAAGGGAAUGAGGAAGUCACCGAAACAACAACUAAAAGCGCGACAACAGUCAGGUCUGAACCAGCAACGGUUUCCUUUGUGACACAAGCAAGCAAGGUCAUAGUUUCAUCAGAAGCGGUUAGUACGGACGAGGAAAAACACAGCAACGAUGAAUCCGCCUCCGCGUCUUCUUGUGGACACAUCCUGACUGUUGGCUGGCUGAUGUCGUUUGGAGUGGCAUUGGGAACAAUUUGACAUUGAUAUUGAACUGAGUCAAAGCUGUACAAAUAUAGGUGUCCAUAUGUAUUUUGUGUUAAAAAUGUUUGUGUGCGUGUAUAUUUAACUCAAGCAUGUAUUUGACAAUUGUGUUUCAAAUUGAUUUACUGUAGAUAUUGAAGAAUUUAUAUUGUGAAACGCAUACACUAUGCCUAUCCUUUAUUGUUUGCAUUAGUAUAAAUAUUAAUGAAUGCUUUUACAUCAUUUAUGUGCUGUUGAACAUAUAUUUAUUUAAAACAACACACUUUGAAAGCAACGUUCUAUGUAAAAACCAUUUUUAUAAAUUAUGAUUUUUUAAACAUACACGUACACGUGUUCAAAAAUAUGCUAAUGUAUAUUAAUGCAAAUAUCUCAUUAUACAUUUUAUAAGAGGUUAGCAAAAGAAGGACUAUUUUAGAGGUUAUAAGAUUGAUCUUAUCGGUAUUUUCUCUCAACUUAAAAACGAGCUGCUUUGUAAAUAAUGUUUUCUCACGCUGUCCGAUGUUGAACAAGCCUCGAUAUAAAACAGUAUCCCGACUAAAUCUUUCAACAUUAUCUUUUUAAUUUUGUUGUUGAUUUGUUGUGUUGAUGUUGUUGUAUGUAUGCCAAAAUGAGAAAAUAAAAGGUAUUUGAAAAUUG